GGGAGAAGGUUCGAUCCGUUCAAGAUCACGCGAAGUUAAGCUGGGCAGGGCUGCCGACGUUGUUGAAGGGCCGCGUCCCCGGCACCAGCUCCUUGUGUAUUCUUGUGUGAUCCUGCUAGACAAGAGGGCCUGAGUGGAGACAACUCAGGCGACGGAAUUAGUCUUUGUUUGUUAGAGUUCAGCAAAUUCAGUUGUAGCAAGGCACUGUGCCUUAUAGAGAGAUGGGGCUUCAAUUGCUCAACACCGUAAGUUUAGCCACCACUGCCCUUUUCUUUCAAUUCUCAGACUAAAUGCUUGUUUGUUAGAGUUCAGCAAAUUCAGUUGUAGCAAGGCACUGUGCCUUAUGGAGAGAUGGGGCUUCAGUUGUCCAACGCCCAUGAACCUAUUUUUGGAAGCCUAAGUAUGUUCAUUCCAAGUUUCAUCUACAGACUGGUACUCUGGUUUCGCCAUUGUCUGGUUGCCCCACACAUUAAUCUGAGUCAAGUUCCUUCUCGAGAAGGACGCCAAUGUCAUCCUUGACAGCCACCUGAAUCACAGAUCUUAAAUACACCGAUACUUGUGUUUAUGACUCUAGAUGAAGUGCUUGAAGCUAAGACCCAU